GAAGCUUUAGCCUAAUUAGGGCAUCUGUAUUGCAUGCAGAAAGUAUAGGUUAGACUCCUGUAAGUUUUAUGGGAAUUGAAAGUUUUA
rnacentral:tRNA from 1 species